CCUCAAGGGAUGAUCCACAGAUAUCUCACAAAGAUUGCUGUUUCUUUCAGUUCCUUGGUUCCAUCUGAUCAAGGAGAUAGACAGACACCCUUUCAUCUCAGUGCAAGCAGACACAGAUAUCAAGGCAGCAGAAGGACUCCCAGUGGCUGCAUGGACUGCCGGGCCCAUGGAGACCAUGCUUGUUUCAGUCUUGUGUCUUAGCACUGGACCUUGGCUCAUCAAGGACAAAGCUCGGCCUGGCGCGUUCCUAACGGGAAUUGGCUCUAGAAGUUCCGGACUUUGUGCUUCUCACUGCUGUGCAGUAUUCCACUGUCACCCCCAAAGCCUCAUGCACUCUGAGGUGAGGCUUGUGGAAGGUGGUUGGAUUGAGAGGACACUACAGCUGACUUAGUGUUAGGAGAUGGGCCCUGAUCAGAAGAGGAGUCAUUGUGAGUAUGACCUGGAAGUGUGUACCCCCCACCCCCCGCUCCUCCCUUCUCUCUGCUUCCUGGCCACUAUGAGGUGAACAGCUUGUCCUCUACCAUGUCUCUCCGUCACGCUGUCCUGCCUUGGAG
rnacentral:lncRNA from 1 species